AGACUGGUAAGAUUGCUAAACAUUUAAAUGUGAAAUGAACUUCUACAGUACAGCCAAGCCUUCAUAUUCCAUUAUUAUUAAACUAUGCUUCAGCAGUUUGGAAGAGCUUAUUUUACAGCUUCAGAUGAGAUGUCAUAACAACAAGCACUUAUUUCAAAGAACUUUGCAGAGCUGGAUAAGUAUCACUAUCCCCAUUUUCCAGAGGAC